rnacentral:rRNA from 1 species
AUUGAACGCUGGCGGCAUGCCUUACACAUGCAAGUCGAACGAGUGGCGAACGGGUGAGUAACGUAUCGGAAAGUACCGAAUGAUGGGGGAUAACUGUCGGAAAGGGCAGCUAAUACCGCAUAUCAUUCGAUCUGCCCAUGUGUGAUUAGCUGGUAGGUGGGGUAAAGGCCCACCAAGGCGGCGAUCAUUAGCGGGUCUGAGAGGAUGAUAGGCCACACUGGAACUGAGACACGGCCCAGACUCCUACGGGAGGCAGCAGUGGGGAAUUUUGGACAAUGGGCGCAAGCCUGACGCAGCCAUGCCGCGUGUCUGAAGAAGGCCUUCGGGUUGUAAAGGACUUUUAUCAGGGAAGCGGUACCUGAAGAAUAAGCACCGGCUAACUACGUGCCAGCAGCCGCGGUAAUUC